rnacentral:rRNA from 1 species
ACAUGCAGAGAACUUUCCAGAGAUGGAUUGGUGGCCUUCGGGAACUCUGACACAGGUGCUGCAUGGCUGUCGUCAGCUCGUGUCGUGAGAUGUUGGGUUAAGUCCGUAACGAGCGCAACCCUUGUCCUUAGUUACCAGCACGUUAUGGUGGGCACUCUAAGGAGACUGCCGGUGACAAACCGGAGGAAGGUGGGGAUGACGUCAAGUCAUCAUGGCCCCUACGGCCUGGGCUACACACGUGCUACAAUGGUCGGUACAAAGGGUUGCCAAGCCGCGAGGUGGAGCUAAUCCCAUAAAACCGAUCGUAGUCCGGAUCGCAGUCUGCAACUCGACUGCGUGAAGUCGGAAUCGCUAGUAAUCGUGAAUCAGAAUGUCACGGUGAAUACGUUCCCGGGCCUU